CCUACGGGAGGCAGCAGUGAGGAAUCUUCCACAAUGGACGAAAGUCUGAUGGAGCGACACCGCGUGCGGGAUGAAGGCCUUCGGGUCGUAAACCGCUUUUUCGUGGGACUACUUCGAAUGUACCACGAGAAUAAGUCACGGCUAAUCACGUGCCAGCAGCCGCGGUAAUACGUGAGUGGCGAGCGUUAUCCGGAAUUACUGGGCGUAAAGCGUCCCUAGGGGGUACGUCAAGUACCAUGUUAAAUCUACCUGCUCAACAGGUGGGCUGCGUGGUAUACUGUCGUGCUUGAGGUAUGUAGAGGUGAAUGGAAUUUCCAGAGUAGGGGUAAUAUCCGUAGAUACUGGAAGGAACACCAAUAGCGAAGGCAAUUCACUGGACAUCACCUGACCCUGAAUGACGAAAGCGUGGGGAGCGAACCGGAUUAGAUACCCUUGUAGUC
rnacentral:rRNA from 1 species